rnacentral:rRNA from 1 species
UACGUAGGGGGCAAGCGUUGUCCGGAUUUAUUGGGCGUAAAGAGCGUGUAGGCGGCCGUACAGGUCAGCUGUGAAAACUCGAGGCUCAACCUCGAGACGUCGGUUGAAACCGUACGGCUAGAGUCCGGAAAGAGGAGUGUGGAAUUCCCGGUGUAGCGGUGAAAUGCGCAGAUAUCGGGGAAGAACACCCGUGGCGAAGGCGGCUCUCUGGGACGGUACUGACGCUGAGACGCGAAAGCGUGGGGAGCGAACAGG